UUCCCAGAAGAAACUCAGGCCCCAAAUCUAAAGAUCUUGGAAGCAGCAUAUCGCUGGAAAAAGCAGAAGAUUUCUACCGAGGAUUAAUGACACGCUGUCCUUUUGUAGCAUGUUUAUUAACAACUGUGUAUAUAUAGUGAGCGGUACUUUUUUGUAUUACAUUGACAAAAACAAUAGCUUGUCUGCACAUGCAUUCUUCUCAGAAAUGAGAUCCCACUAUAUUAGGGAGUCUUUGUUGUAUGGAGUAGGAAGAAAAAAGAAGGGAAAAUUCUAACUGGUUGUUGGAGGAAUGUGUUUUGGAGCUCAGUCGAUUCCCCAGAUGUAUUAUCAAUGUUGGAUCAGACAAUCUGAAGCAUGUGAGUUUUGAGUUUAACUUGUACCAUACUUUCUAGAAUUUCAUAAUGGAUUUUAGAUUUCCUACUCCAUACAACAAAG
rnacentral:misc_RNA from 1 species